AUUGAACGCUGGCGGCAGGCCUAACACAUGCAAGUCGAGCGGAGCGGCGGACGGGUGAGUAAUGCCUAGGAAUCUGCCUGGUAGUGGGGGAUAACGUCCGGAAACGGGCGCUAAUACCGCAUACUAUCAGAUGAGCCUAGGUCGGAUUAGCUAGUUGGUGGGGUAAAGGCCUACCAAGGCGACGAUCCGUAACUGGUCUGAGAGGAUGAUCAGUCACACUGGAACUGCGACACGGUCCAGGCUCCGACGGGAGGCAGCAGUGGGGAAUAUUGGACAAUGGGCGAAAGCCUGAUCGAGCCAGGCCGCGGGAGGGAAGAAGGUCUUCGGAUUGUAAAGAACUUUAAGUUGGGAGGCGUUACCGACGGAAGAGGCAACGGCUAACUUCGUGCCAGCAGCCGCGGUAAUUC
rnacentral:rRNA from 1 species